rnacentral:tRNA from 1 species
GGUGCUAUCGUCUAGUGGCCGAGGAUACUACCCUGUCACGGUAGAGACCGGAGUUCGAUUCUCCGUAGCACCG